UACGGAGGGUGCGAGCGUUGUCCGGAAUCAUUGGGCGUAAAGGGCGCGUAGGUGGCCUGCUAAGCGUGCGGUGAAAGUCGGGGGCUCAACCCCCGAUCGGCCGUGCGAACUGGGAGGCUUGAGCACUGUAGAGGCAGGCGGAAUUCCGGGUGUAGCGGUGGAAUGCGUAGAGAUCCGGAGAACACCGGUGGCGAAGGCGGCCUGCUGGGCAGUUUGCUGACACUGAGGCGCGACAGCGUGGGGAGCAAACAGGG
rnacentral:rRNA from 1 species